rfam:Salmo salar isolate Sally breed double haploid chromosome ssa21, whole genome shotgun sequence.
GGGAAAGAUGGUUGAAUGUCGCUCUGGAUAAGAGCGUCUGCUAAAUGUCUUAAA